rnacentral:misc_RNA from 1 species
GUGACACUUUGUGUGGUAGACUCAGAAGACUGCUGCAAGAGACUGUUGUUGCUGGCUCCGGCGGGCGCCUUGCGGCCGGAGGCCCCCCCUGGGGCCGCCGCGCCGGAGCAUAGGUAGCGGUAUGUUCACAGUGGUUUGGGAGUCGGGUGACUCUGUAAUGAUCCCUCCGCUGGUUCACCAACGGAGA